AUGUUACAAGCAAGAGCUGGUGUUGGUGUGAUCGCCCCGCAAAGCGGGUAUAUAAGGAGCAACGCGAGCAACUCGCAUUCAAGCUUUCGCUUCGGAGCCGAGCACAUCGCUUGCUGCAAUCACCGGAGUGUUACAAGCAAGAGCUGGUGUUGGUGUGAUGGCGCGAUUCAGCGGUUCGUCUGGGUUUCCUGCGACAGCUCCCGCGUUCCCCUGAGUGCUUCAACACCUCUGAAAGAGCAAGAUUUCUUUCACAAAAAGAGAUACGGGCCGAUUUGCGUCUUUUUAAAGAUGUCAUUUCGCCCGUGCGUUUCUGGGUGCGGUCGAUACAUCGCUCCUCGUGACGGUCACGAUCGCUGUGUCACGUGUCUGGGCUUUCAGCACGCUGAGACUGCGUUCGUGGAUGGCUCAUGUUCUCAUUGUGGGGACAUGACCAUCUCGGCGUUGAGAUCGAGACUCGAUUACCUUAAAAGGUAUAGAGUCCCCUCUGCCACACCCCGUUCUAGCUCUUCUUCUCGUAAGAGGGCUACUUCGGCUGGUGGCCAGGGUGAUCUGAGGGUUACGGUGUGGGCUUCCCCGACGAGCCAACCUCCUCGGACCACACCCCCCUCACAUACGCCGCAGCCGGUUGAGUUUCCGGAUGAGUUUGCUGGACCCUCUCAGGCUCCUGACAUCUCAUUCGGGGCUCGCGAAGAGGACCGUAUGUCGAUCGCCGCAUCACAAGGCGGGCUUGAGUCCUCGGGAGAUGAGGGUUCGGCUGCGUUGCCUCCCUCGGGAGUGCCAGCGUUGUCCGAGUCCGAUCCCGAGCUGACGGCCGUGCUUUCCCGGGCAGCGGAGAGCAUCGGGCUUGAGUGGAAUCCUCCGCCCUGUCCCGAGCGCUCGAGGCUGGAUGAUUGGUUCCUGGGGGCUGCUCAUGCGGAUCCUGUUCUUCCCGGAAGUGCACCAGGAAGUAACCAGUUCAUGGAAGGCACCUUUAACUGCCCGAAACCGUUCUGGUACUUCCUCCGCCUUCACUGCCCUCGAUGGUGGGGCGGCCAAGGGGUAUGCUGGGAUUCCCCCAGUGGAGCGCUCUGUUGCGAU
rnacentral:lncRNA from 1 species